UUAACCGCAAUGAUGAGGAAAGUAAAUCAACCGCAUUUUCUAAAAGAGAGCUUCGGUAGCUGAAAGGAAGCAGGAAAUUGUUGAUUGAAAAUGGCCUUGGAGCUACAAAAUCGACUUUCAUUUGUAAAUUAGAUUUUGACGAGAUUUGGCACUCGUUAUAAAUGUCAAAGUAUAAGAGUGUUCAUUCACUCCGUACUUACUGAGGCUAAUAAUGCAAGUUAUUAGUAAAUUAAGGUGGUAACACGAGAUAUACCUCGUCCUUAGA
rnacentral:ncRNA from 1 species